rnacentral:rRNA from 1 species
AUUGAACGCUGGCGGCAUGCUUUACACAUGCAAGUCGAACGGUAACAGGCCGCAAGGUGCUGACGAGUGGCGAACGGGUGAGUAAUGCAUCGGAACGUGCCCAGUCGUGGGAGAUAACGCAGCGAAAGCUGCGCUAAUACCGCAUACGAUCUAUGGAUGAAAGCGGGGGACCGUAAGGCCUCGCGCGAUUGGAGCGGCCGAUGUCAGAUUAGGUAGUUGGUGGGGUAAAGGCUCACCAAGCCAACGAUCUGUAGCUGGUCUGAGAGGACGACCAGCCACACUGGGACCGAGACACGGCCGAGACUCCUACGGGAGGCAGCAGUGGGGAAUUUUGGACAAUGGGCGCAAGCCUGAUCCAGCAAUGCCGCGUGCAGGAAGAAGGCCUUCGGGUUGUAAACUGCUUUUGUACGGAACGAAACGGCUCUGGUUAAUACCUGGGGCUAAUGACGGUACCGUAAGAAUAAGCACCGGCUAACUACGUGCCAGCCGCCGCCGUAAAAC